CCCGGUUGAGCCUGUCCUUUGCCCGUGACCGUAAGCGGGGAGUGAUCCCUCCCAGCCCUUGUCUCGACCCACAAGUGUUUCUUUCUAUUUUCUCCUCAUCCCGCCAGGGCCGGGGGGCGAGUGAGCGGGCGGCUGCCGGGUGCUUUGUUACCGGCCGGGCUGAAACCACGGCAGUGAGAUGAUACAAAGCUUCACUUGCUCAAGAGCCUUUAUCUAGAUAUGCAAGAUAAAACUGAGACAGAUGUGUUAUCUACAUUUUGGAAGAAUGGAGAAUGAAAGAAUUCAGCAACUUGCCCACUUCACACUGAAGCAGAGCAAGAUCUUCUCCCACAUUCUCUCAGCAAACUGAUCCUGUGCCCCCAGAAAAAUAAAAAAACCUUCUUUACUGGUAUCAUUGAAUAAUUAUUGGGAUAACUGCAGUGGUACUUGUGCAUUUGUGCUUUGUGUUAACUUGUGCAAAGGACUGAGCUGCCAUUUGACUUAGAAACCACAGGUGCUUUUGGGCACAGGUCAACCAUGUGGUAUUUCUUUGCUAAGCUACUUGUAGAAGCUGGUUGGAAAUUCUUUACUACCAACACUUCCUUUAGAAAACUCUGAUCAUCAAAGCUAACAUUUUACAAUUGCAUUUUUAUCCUUUUUGGAUUAAUCUCUUUUUCAUCAGAGAUUUUCUCUGGGUACACUGGAAUUGCUAUUAAAAAGGGAAGCCAGAGAGUAAUAUUCUAGUUUCCCAAUAAUUUAGUAAUUUUGCACCAGUAAGAAAUAGAUUUACAAAACUGUUAUAUUCCCUGAUAUAAAUUUGACAAACUGAAUUUCUGAUAUCCUAGGCAAGUGUUGUGGACAAGAGGUUACUAAGAAGGUAUUCUUCUUUUAGUUUUUCCAAAAAAAAAAAAAUAAUGGAGAUGAUCUUAAAUAUUUCACACUGGAAAAUAAGAAAAAAUACAGAAUUUCAAAUGCAAGUGAGGUAAAAAAUCAUAUAUCUACUUAUAGUUCAAUUGCAAUAACACCAUAACACGACUGAAAUAAAUCAGGAUUAAUACAGUAUGAAUCAUCAAUAACAACCAUCAGUUUAGCAACUAACUUUAAAGGCUGUAUCUUUUAAAAAUAUACUUGAAGGAAAAAUUCAGAUAUUAGCUUUCAGUUGCAACCAAACUCCCCAGAAAGAACCACAAUGUUUGUCCAAUAUGAACACAACCUGCUAAAAAUUUCUAAAAUAUUUUUCUUCAAACCUUAUUUUUGUCAUUGGAAUAAAUUAGACACACACAUGUUUUUGAGAAUGCAUUGAUAAUUUAAGUGCUACAAAUAGUUGCAUAUAUAACAGGGAUGCCAAGGAAACAAAUGCUACGAUCCUCAAAGACUUUGCAAUUGUUGAUCCAAAAUGCAAAGUGCUUGGCAACUUAAAGGAUGAAGCUGUGUUUACUAAUUUUCUAGCUGGGAGGUUAAAUAGGAAGGAAUCAACUCCGAAACAUAUGCGAGCAGUCUGGCUUACCCACUUUUGUAAGUCCCCAAACAGCUGGUGUGGAGAAAACCUACUGUUGUGCAUUGCUGAGCCACUGAUGGGAACGAGGAGAAACAAAGUCAGUAAUACUUUUCAAAGAUCUCUCUUGUAACUGUAUGAAA